UACCUUGAUGGUUAUUUUCGACUUGAAAGAGAACUACCUACUCCCUGGCUUAAGCAAUCUUAACUUACACUUGCCUGUAAAAAGACGAUUGUCUGACCAGCGUUAUUAUCGCCUCCUUCAGAAGUAACCGCACAUUUGAUAAGCUAAACAUUCAGUCAUGAGAUCCUGCUGUUUAUUCCUCCCACUUCUGUUGUGUGCAGCACCAUUAGAUGGCACCGAGUUAAAUCUACAUGUGCUGGAAGAAAUUGUGGGCACAGCGGAUACGAAACUGGAAGGACCGGGAGAAAUCCCCUGUGAAUUAUUGGGAGCAGUAUUCGUUUGCCACUGCAGCAGGACUAAGACCUAGUGACCAUCAGUUGAAGCAGUUUGGAUUCCUGAUGGCUUUAACACCAAAGCAGUGUACCGGUGACAGUAGAGUGCGGUACAGGCCUUUUAAUCAGAACACUCAUGUUCAUGUAACAGGAAGCCCUAACUUUUUUACAAAUGUUCCAGAUUUAAACUAUAUGGCUGUCUAUCCUUACAUAGGAAACGUGUGCUCCGAGAAGAAGAUUCUUUUCUCACAGGAUCAAAACCAGCCUAGCCCUGCUCAAAAUUUUGCAAAUAACGCAGACAAAAUCCUGAGUGCUGGUGGGUGUGUGUUGUUUUUCACCACAAACACCCCCUGCCUGGAGAAGUGUUUCAGUGGCAAGCAGGACUGUGACAUUGUCAGCCCAUUACUCGCACAGCCAUUCUCUAACUGGGGCAAUUCCAAUAUCAAUAGGCCCAUUCACAAGUAUUUCAUUUACACCAAGGUGUUUGGAAGAGAUAGUAGGAAUCUUGUUAGUAUUAAAGAGGGCUUCACAAGGCUUGAUAACAGCAAAUGUUAUAAGGAUGCUAAUAGUGUAAAUUGCAUUCCUUGUGACGCCAAUAAUAAUUUCUGCUUGUAAGUUUAAGCCAAUGCUUCAAAUUGCAAUUUACCAAACAAGUAAUAAUGAUUCCUUAAUUCAUUACCAGUCUUUAUUCUAUAAUAGCAUGCAAUACCUUUCUAGAAAACGAUCCUGUUUGUAAUAACUCUAAGGGCCUCUAAGCUUCAUUUUGUCAUUUUCCGCUUGUACUUUCUUCACUGUAAUUGUGAUACUUCAC